CACCCACCAGCCCCUGAAGAAACCUUUCAACGGAAGGAGAUGGGAGAACAGCAAAGAGAUCAGAAAAGUGUAGUCUUCAAUAGAUGGUACACUUCAGUUGUUUCCAGAUUUUCUAACUUACAGCAAAGCUUCUAUAACGUCCCCGUAUUGGAAGCUCCUUGAAAGCAGAGCCCAUGUAUUACAACUUUGUAUCCUAUCUCAAUUCUUAGCACAUGAAAGAUGGCUGCAAAUUGGAAUUCCUAUUUUCUGAAAUUGCCUCCUGACUUUGCCCUAGAACUAUCCUAUUUUGUAAUGGGCCUGCAAUCUGCCUCUGAAUGGAAGUCAUGGAAAGGAUCAAAAAUGACUGACCAGCGUUGGUGGAGUUUGGGUUUUUUUUAAAUAAUAGUAGGUAUUAAUGUAGCACACUGUAUUUGUAGUGCUUUGAAAUAAAUAUCACAAUAUUAUAUGUAAAUAUACAUAUAACCAAACACAU